UACGUAGGUGGCAAGCGUUGUCCGGAAUUAUUGGGCGUAAAGCGCGCGCAGGCGGUCCUUUAAGUCUGAUGUGAAAGCCCCCGGCUCAACUGGGGAGGGUCAUUCGAUACUGUUCGACUCGAAGGCAGGAGAGGGAAGUGGAAUUCCGGGUGUAGUGGUGAAAUGCGUAGAUAUCCGGAGGAACACCAGUGGCGAAGGCGACUUUCUGGCCUGUUCUUGACGCUGAGGCGCGAAAGCUAGGGGAGCAAACGGG
rnacentral:rRNA from 1 species